rnacentral:rRNA from 1 species
GUAGGGAAUAUUGGACAAUGGGCGAAAGCCUGAUCCAGCCAUGCCGCGUGAUAGAUGAAGGCCCUCUGGGUUGUAAAUAUCUUUUAUCUGGGAAGAAACUCCUCUAUUCUUAGAGGCCUGACGGUACCAGAGGAAUAAGCACCGGCUAACUCCGUGCCAGCAGCCGCGGUAAUACGGAGGGUGCAAGCGUUAUCCGGAUUCACUGGGUUUAAAGGGUGCGUAGGCGGGUUGAUAAGUCAGUGGUGAAAGCUCCGGGCUUAACUUGGAAACUGCCAUUGAUACUGUCAGUCUUGAAUGUCGUAGAGGUAAGCGGAAUGUUGCAUGUAGCGGUGAAAUGCUUAGAUAUGUUACAGAACACCAAUUGCGAAGGCAGCUUACUAUGCGAUAAUUGACGCUGAGGCACGAAAGCGUGGGGAGCAAACAGGAUUAGAAACCCUGGUAGUCC